UACGUAGGGUGCGAGCGUUGUCCGGAAUUAUUGGGCGUAAAGGGCUCGUAGGCGGUUUGUCGCGUCGGGAGUGAAAACACCGGGCUUAACUCGGUGCUUGCUUUCGAUACGGGCAGACUAGAGGCAUGCAGGGGAGAACGGAAUUCCUGGUGUAGCGGUGAAAUGCGCAGAUAUCAGGAGGAACACCGGUGGCGAAGGCGGGUAGCUGGGCCAACACUGACGCUGAAACGCGAAAGCUAGGGGAGCAAACGGG
rnacentral:rRNA from 1 species